CAGCAGCCGCGGUAAUACAGAGGGUGCAAGCGUUAAUCGGAAUUACUGGGCGUAAAGGGCGCGUAGGUGGUUGUGUAAGUGAGAUGUGAAAUCCCCGGGCUCAACCUGGGAACUGCGUCUUAUACUGCAUAGCUUGAGUACGAUAGAGGGUAGUGGAAUUUCCGGUGUAGCGGUGAAAUGCGUAGAUAUCGGAAGGAACACCAGUGGCGAAGGCGGCUACCUGGAUUGAUACUGACACUGAGGCGCGAGAGCGUGGGGAGCAAACAGGAUUAGAUACCCCUGUAGUCCCUGUCUCUUAUAC
rnacentral:rRNA from 1 species